rnacentral:rRNA from 1 species
UACGUAGGGGGCAAGCGUUGUCCGGAAUUAUUGGGCGUAAAGCGCGCGCAGGCGGCUAUUUAAGUCUGGUGUUUAAACCUUGGGCUCAACCUGAGGUCGCACUGGAAACUGGGUGGCUUGAGUACAGAAGAGGAAAGUGGAAUUCCACGUGUAGCGGUGAAAUGCGUAGAUAUGUGGAGGAACACCAGUGGCGAAGGCGACGUUUCUGGGCCGAUACUGACGCUGAGGAGCGAAAGCGUGGGGAGCGAACAGG